rnacentral:rRNA from 1 species
AUUGAACGCUGGCGGCAUGCCUUACACAUGCAAGUCGAACGGCAGCGCGGACUUCGGUCUGGCGGCGAGUGGCGAACGGGUGAGUAACAUAUCGGAACGUGCCCUGGAGUGGGGGAUAACUGGUCGAAAGACUAGCUAAUACCGCAUACGAUCUACGGAUGAAAGUGGGGGAUCGCAAGACCUCAUGCUCGGGGAGCGGCCGAUAUCUGAUUAGCUAGUUGGUGGGGUAAAGGCCUACCAAGGCAUCGAUCAGUAGCUGGUCUGAGAGGACGACCAGCCACACUGGGACUGAGACACGGCCCAGACUCCUACGGGAGGCAGCAGUGGGGAAUUUUGGACAAUGGGGGCAACCCUGAUCCAGCAAUGCCGCGUGAGUGAAGAAGGCCUUCGGGUUGUAAAGCUCUUUUGUCAGGGAAGAAACGGUCCGGGCUAAUAUCCUGGGCUAAUGACGGUACCUGAAGAAUAAGCACCGGCUAACUACGUGCCAGCAGCCGCGGUAA